rnacentral:tRNA from 1 species
GCGCCUGUAGCUCAGUGGAAGAGCAGCGGCCUUCUAAGCCGCCGGUCGGAGGUUCGAAUCCUCCCAGGCGCA